rnacentral:rRNA from 1 species
AGCGAACGCUGGCGGCAGGCCUAACACAUGCAAGUCGAACGAACUCUUCGGAUUUACUUGCUGACGGGUGGGUAACCCGUGGGAACGUGCCUUUUGGUUCGGAAUAACUCAGGGAAACUUGUGCUAAUACCGCAUGUGCCCUUCGGGGGAAAGAUUUAUCGCCAUUAGAGCGGCCCGCGUCUGAUUAGCUAGUUGGUGAGGUAACGGCUCACCAAGGCGAAGAUCAGUAGCUGGUCUGAGAGGAUGACCAGCCACACUGGGACUGAGACACGGCGCAGACGCGUACGGGAGGCAGCAGUGGGGAAUCUGGCGCAACGGGCGAAAGCCUGACGCAGCCAUGCCGCGUGAAUGAUGACGGUCUUAGGAUUGUAAAAUUCUUUCACCGGGGACGAUAAGGCCGGAACCCGAAGAAGAAGCCCCGGCUAACUUCGU